AUGGCUGAAACUAAGUCAGAUCAAGGAAGCCCAUCUCUCUUUUCUCCAUACAAGAUGGGAAAGUUCAAUCUGUCUCACAGGUGGUUCGUUCUGGCGCCGAUGACAAGAUGCAGGGCCAUAAAUAGCAUUCCUCAGCCUGCCAUGGCGGAGUACUACGCCCAAAGAGGAACCAAUGGUGGCUUUCUCAUCACGGAGGGCACCAUGAUCUCCCCAACUGCUGCCGGGUUUCCGCAUGUGCCGGGAUCUUUACAAAGGAACAAGUGGAGGCAUGGAAGCAAGUGGUUGAUGCAGUACAUGCCAAGGGUGCUAUUAUUUUCUGUCAACUGUGGCACGUUGGCCGUGCGUCACAUGAAGUUUAUCAACCUGGUGGUGGUGCACCCAUAUCAUCAACGGGAAAGCCUAUAUCAAAGAGGUGGAGGAUAUUGAUGCCUGAUGGCAGCCAUGGGAUCUACCCUAAACCACGUCCAUUAACAACAGCGCAUGAGAUUGCGCAAGUUGUGGAAGAUUACCGCCAGUCGGCCUUGAAUGCCAUUGAAGCCGGUUUUGAUGGUAUUGAAAUCCAUGGAGCACAUGGCUACCUAAUUGACCAGUUCUUGAAAGAUGGGAUCAAUGAUCGGACAGAUGAAUAUGGUGGAUCUGUUGCAAAUCGCUGCAAAUUCAUUGUGCAGGUGGUUCAGGCUGUUGUUUCAGCAAUUGGUGCAGAUCGUGUUGGUGUCAGAAUUUCCCCUGCUAUUGACCAUCUUGAUGCCAUGGACUCUGAUCCACUAAGCUUAGGCCUGGCAGUGAUUGAGAGACUUAACAAGCUCCAACUGAAUUCAGGCUCCAAGUUAACAUACUUGCACGUGACUCAACCUCGAUAUACAGCGUAUGGCCAGACAGAAGCAGGCAGACAGGGGAGUGAAGAGGAGGAGGCCCAACUAGUGAGGACUUUGCGAAAAGCUUAUCAAGGAACUUUCAUUUCCAGUGGUGGGUUCACCAGAGAGCUAGGAGUUGAAGCAGUAGCUCAGGGUGAUGCUGAUUUGGUUUCCUAUGGUCGCCUUUUUAUCUCAAAUCCAGACUUAGUUUUACGCUUUAAGCUAAAUGCUCCUUUGAUUAGGUAUAAUAGAUCUACCUUCUAUACUCAUGAUCCUGUUGUAGGAUACACAGAUUACCCUUUUCUAAGCAAUGGUACCAGUGGCAAUGUACCACAAUCACGUCUGUAAUUUGCAUGUUGUUCUAUUAUGGUUGAGGACUUGAUAGGUUUAUGCCUUCAACUUGACUGGUUUUGUUUAACGUCUCAUCUGCUUUUAUAAUGGAAGUUUCCAGUGUGUUCUUUGAA